rnacentral:rRNA from 1 species
AACGAGGCGAACCGGGGGAACUGAAACAUCUAAGUACCCCGAGGAAAAGAAAUCAACCGAGAUUCCCCCAGUAGCGGCGAGCGAACGGGGAGCAGCCCAGGACCUGAAUCAGCUUGUGCAUCAGUGGAAGCGUCUGGAAAGUCGCGCGAUACCGGGUGACAGCCCCGUACACGAAGAUGCAUGAGCUGUGAGUCCGACGAGUAGGGCGGGACACGUGGUAUCCUGUCUGAACAUGGGGGGACCAUCCUCCAAGGCUAAAUACUCCUGACUGACCGAUAGUGAACCAGUACCGUGAGGGAAAGGCGAAAAGAACCCCGGCGAGGGGAGUGAAACAGAACCUGAAACCGUGUACGUACAAGCAGUGGGAGC